rnacentral:rRNA from 1 species
CGCAUCUGUGCAUGCAGCAUAUCAAUAAGCGGAGGAAAAGAAACUAACAAGGAUUCCCCUAGUAACGGCGAGUGAAGCGGGAAGAGCUCAAAUUUGAAAUCUUAAAGGGUUUCCCUUUACGAAUUGUAGUUUAAAGAAGUGUUUUCUGUUGAGGUUUUGGUAAAAGUUCUUUGGAAUAGGACAUCAUAGAGGGUGAGAAUCCCGUAUUUGACCUUUACUUUCAACUUUGUGAUACAGCUUUCAAAGAGUCGGAUUGUUUGGGAAUGCAGUCCAAAAUGGGUGGUAAAUUUCAUCUAAAGCUAAAUAUUGGCGAGAGACCGAUAGCGAACAAGUACCGUGAGGGAAAGAUGAAAAGAACUUUGAAAAGAGAGUUAAACAGUACGUGAAAUUGUCAAAAGGGAAGCGCUUGACAUCAGUGUUGUUUUUCUGAAAAUCAAUUAAAGAACUGUUUAUGCUAAGCUGUUUAGACUUUAUCAGCUAUCUGUUUAGUUUUGAGCUUUUCUUUAAUGCACUUUUCAGUUAACAAGUCAACAUCAAUUUCUUUUGCUGUAAAAAAGCCUGAGGAAGGUGGCUUGAGAUUCGUCUUAAGUGUUUAUAGCCUCUUGCCUAUGCAGUCGGAGAGAUUGAGGUCUGCAGCGUAGAUCCUUCGGGGCUAAAUGCAUUUGUGCUAAGUUAUAGCAUUUUAUAGACAACUUGUUGACUAUGAUUUGUCUUGUAGCUUACUCGCUUAUGUUAUUUUACCUACGCUUAGGAUGUUGAGUCGUAGAGCACGCAG